AGCGGUAUGGCGCAGCGGAAGCGCGCCGGGCUCAUAACCCGGAUGUCCCUCGAUCGAAACGUGGUGCUGCUA
rnacentral:tRNA from 1 species